rnacentral:rRNA from 1 species
AUUGAACGCUGGCGGCAUGCCUUACACAUGCAAGUCGAACGGUAACAGGUCUUCGGUUGCUGACGAGUGGCGAACGGGUGAGUAAUACAUCGGCACGUGCCCGCUCGUGGGGGAUAACGAGGCGAAAGCUUUGCUAAUACCGCAUACGAUCUACGGAUGAAAGCGGGGGAUCUUCGGACCUCGCGCGGACGGAGCGGCCGAUGGCAGAUUAGGUAGUUGGUGGGAUAAAAGCUUACCAAGCCGACGAUCUGUAGCUGGUCUGAGAGGAUGAUCAGCCACACUGGGACUGAGACACGGCCCAGACUCCUACGGGAGGCAGCAGUGGGGAAUUUUGGACAAUGGGCGAAAGCCUGAUCCAGCCAUGCCGCGUGCAGGAUGAAGGCCUUCGGGUUGUAAACUGCUUUUGUACGGAACGAAAAGCCUCUUACUAAUAAAGAGGGGUCAUGACGGUACCGUAAGAAUAAGCACCGGCUAACUACGUG